rnacentral:lncRNA from 1 species
ACAUUGUGCUAAACAACUUAUGCACAUUAUUUCUUUGAUUCUUUUUAACACAUGGUUGUGGGCUGAAUGGUGUCUCCCAAGAAGUCAUAUGCCGGGAUCCUGUCCCAUAGUGCCUCACAACGUGACAUUGUUUGGAGUUAGGGUUGUUGAAGAUGUCAUUAGUCAAGAUGAGGUCAUACUUGAGUGAGGUGGGUUUCUAAUCCAAUGUGACUGGUGUCUGUGAAAAGGGGAAAUGUGGACACAGGUCCACAUAUAAGGAGAACACCAUGUGAAGAUGAAGGUAGAAAUUACAGUGAUGUGUCUACAAGCCAAGGAACACCAAAGAUUGACAGAAAAUCACCAGAAGCCUAGAGAGGCAUGAAACAUUCUCCCUCAGAGCCUUCAGAAGAAAGCAAUCCUGCUGGCACCUUCAUCUUGGACUUUGAGCCUCUAGAACUGUGAGGCAAUACAUUUCUGUUGUUUAAGCCACCCAGUUUGUGGCAUUUUGUUACAGCAGCACUGGAAUCCUAAUGGAUGCUGUAUUAGAUAAAUAUUUUAGGCUUAGGAAGAAGAGAACUGUAGACAUGCAGCAGCCAUCUUGUGGAUAUGAGGGAAGAGCCAAAUAGACUACAAAUCGGUUAACACAGAGAACUAAAAUUGUGGAGCUACUGAAUGAACCAGCUAUGGAAUUGUCUGUGUGUGGGCAUUCAGAUGGACAUACCGGAUAAAAUUCUGGACUGGCAACAGAAGCAUCUUCUGUUCUAAUGAAGUGACUCUUGGUGUGUACCCGGAUAACCUCAUGACUGGAGUUGGUUGGCUGCUAGAAGAACAAAUCAUGUGAUUAGAGUGUUGGAACUUUCAACCUUAGCCCUCAACUUCUGGGGAGGGGAGAAGCGCAAAAGGUAGAGUUGACCACUAAUGGCCAGUGAUUUAACUAAUCAUGCCUAUGUAAUGAAGCAUCCAUAAAAAACUAAAGAUCACGGUGCAGAGAGCUUCUAGAUUGCUGAAUAAGUGGUAGUUCCUGGAGGAUGAUGCACCCAGAGAGGCAUGGAAGCUCUGUACCUCUUUCCACAUGUCUUUGCCUAUGCAUUUCUUCCAUCUGGCGGAUCAUCUGUUUGCUUUGUAGUAUUUUGUAUUUAAAAAAUGGAUAAAUGUAAAUAAAAUGUUUCCCUGAGUUAUGUGAGCCACUAUAGCAAAUUAAUUGAACCAAGGAGAUCAUGGAAACCCCAAUUUAUAGCUGGUUGUUCA